rnacentral:misc_RNA from 1 species
CACUAGUCGGUUGUUCCGGCAG